rnacentral:rRNA from 1 species
AUGAACGCUGGCGGCGUGCCUAAUACAUGCAAGUCGAGCGAACAGAUGAGGAGCUUGCUCCUCUGACGUUAGCGGCGGACGGGUGAGUAACACGUGGAUAACCUACCUAUAAGACUGGGAUAACUUCGGGAAACCGGAGCUAAUACCGGAUAAUAUAUUGAACCGCAUGGUUCAAUAGUGAAAGACGGUUUUGCUGUCACUUAUAGAUGGAUCCGCGCCGCAUUAGCUAGUUGGUAAGGUAACGGCUUACCAAGGCAACGAUGCGUAGCCGACCUGAGAGGGUGAUCGGCCACACUGGAACUGAGACACGGUCCAGACUCCUACGGGAGGCAGCAGUAGGGAAUCUUCCGCAAUGGGCGAAAGCCUGACGGAGCAACGCCGCGUGAGUGAUGAAGGUCUUCGGAUCGUAAAACUCUGAUAUUAGGGAAGAACAAAUGUGUAAGUAACUAUGCACGUCUUGACGGUACCUAAUCAGAAAGCCACGGCUAACUACGUG